rnacentral:rRNA from 1 species
CCAGGUCUUGACAUGGUGUUUAAGGCCCUAGGGAUAGGGAGAUAAUAAACACACACAGGUGGUGCAUGGUUGUCGUCAGCUCGUGUCGUGAGAUGUUGGGUUAAGUCCCGCAACGAGCGCAACCCUUGUCUUUAGUUACCAUCAUUCAGUUGGGGACUCUAGAGAGACUGCCGGUGAUAAACCGGAGGAAGGUGGGGAUGACGUCAAAUCAUCAUGCCCCUUAUGACCUGGGCUACACACGUACUACAAUGGCGCAUACAACGAGCUGCGAGAUGGUGACAUCAAGCGAAUCUCUUAAAAUGCGUCUCAGUUCAGAUUGGAGUCUGCAACUCGACUCCAUGAAGUCGGAAUCGCUAGUAAUCGCGGAUCAGCAUGCCGCGGUGAAUACGUUCUCGGGGUUU